GCGCAACCCUUUUUCACUGUUGCCAGCACGUUAUGGUGGGGACUCAGUGGAGACCGCCGGGGUCAACUCGGAGGAAGGUGGGGAUGACGUCAAGUCAUCAUGCCCCUUAUGUCCAGGGCUUCACGCAUGCUACAAUGGCUGGUACAGAGAGUGGCGAGCCUGUGAGGGUGAGCGAAUCUCGGAAAGCCGGUCUCAGUUCGGAUUGGGGUCUGCAACUCGACCUCAUGAAGUCGGAGUCGCUAGUAAUCGCAGAUCAGCAACGCUGCGGUGAAUACGUUCCCGGGGCUUGUACACACCGCCCGUCAAGUCAUGAAAGUUGGUAACACCCGAAGCCGGUGGCCUAACCGUUGUGGGGGAGCCGUCGAAGGUGGGACUGGUGAUUAGGACUAAGUCGAAACAAGGUAGCCGUACCGGAAGGUGCGGCUGGAUCACCU
rnacentral:rRNA from 1 species